AGGCCACACCCGUUCCCAUAUCGAACACGGAAGUUAAGCUCUCUAGCGCCGAUGGUAGUUGGGACCUUGUCCCUGUGAGAGUAGGACGUUGCCAGGC
rnacentral:rRNA from 1 species